rnacentral:rRNA from 1 species
UACGGAGGGUGCAAGCGUUAAUCGGAAUUACUGGGCGUAAAGCGCACGCAGGUGGCUGAGUCAGUCGAUUGUGAAAGCCCUGGGCUUAACCUGGGAAUUGCAGUCGAUACUACUCAGCUAGAGUAUGGGAGAGGGUAGUGGAAUUCCUGGUGUAGCGGUGAAAUGCGCAGAUAUCAGGAGGAACACCGGUGGCGAAGGCGGGUCUCUGGGCAACAACUGACGCUGAGGAGCGAAAGCGUGGGGAGCGAACAGG